rnacentral:rRNA from 1 species
UACAGAGGUCCCAAGCGUUGGUCGGAUUCACUGGGCGUAAAGGGUGCGUAGGUGGCGGGGUAAGUUCGAUGUGAAAUCUCUGGGCUCAACCCAGAAAUGGCAUUGAAUACUAUCUCGCUUGAGGAUCGGAGGGGAGACUGGAAUUCUCGGUGUAGCAGUGAAAUGCGUAGAUAUCGAGAGGAACACCAGUGGCGAAGGCGAGUCUCUGGACGACUCCUGACACUGAGGCACGAAAGCUAGGGGAGCAAACAGG